UACGAGGGGGGCAAGCGUUGUUCGGAAUUAUUGGGCGUAAAGGGCGCGUAGGCGGUGCGGUAAGUCACCUGUGAAACCUCUAGGCUUAACCUAGAGCCUGCAGGCGAAAGCUGCCGUGCUGGAGUGUGGGAGAGGUGCGUGGAAUUCCCGGUGUAGCGGUGAAAUGCGUAGAUAUUAGGAAGAACACCUAUGGCGAAGGCAGCUCUCUGGGACGGUACUGACGCUGAGACGCGAAAGCGUGGGGAGCGAACAGG
rnacentral:rRNA from 1 species